rnacentral:rRNA from 1 species
UCGAUAUAACUUGAUUAUAAGGUAAUUACUUUUGUUUAGGGAUUAUUUAUUUAUUAAAUAAAACAUUUUAUUGUUGAUGUAUUGGUUAAAGAGCUAAUUAAUUUAGUUAUAGAUUAUUUGUACUGUGAAGGUAAUCUAGUCUUGGUUAAUAUUUAUUAAGUAAUAUUUAUUUUCUGUACCUUGUGUCUCAGGGUUAAUUAAUUAAUGAUUAUUAAUUAUUAUUUAUCUCGAUAUUAUUAGAGUUAAUCAGUUAUGUUGUUUACUAUAUCAAAAGUAUUAAUAAUGACUAAUUAGUAAUGAAAUGUUAUUCGUUAAUAAGGGUAUCUAGUUUUUUAGGAAAUAAAUUUAAUUUAAUCUUUUUCUUUAGAAGGUAUAUUUAUUUAUAUUUUUUUUUAGUUUAGGAUAUUGAAUAGGGGGAUAAGCUCUUAUUAAAAUUAAUAUAAGGAUUAAUAUAAUUGUGAAUGUUAUGGGAUUAAUAUUAUUUAUUGAUGAAAGUAUAUUGAAAUUUUAUUUUUGUAUAGUGUUAUUUAUUUCUCUUUAUGAAUUUACUAAAGUAUUUGUUAUAAUUGUUUAUACUUAUUAAUAAUGAUUAAAUUAGUAUAUAAUUUUGUUUACUAUUAGAUGAAUUAAAGGAACUAGGCAAAGGUAAAAAUGUAGAUGAUAUUCUAUAAGAAGUUAUUUAUCCGCCUGUUUAACAAAAACAUCUUUUCCUUACUUGAUUAGGAAGUAAGGCCUGCCCAAUGAAUUUUGAAGGGCCGCGGUAUUUUGACCGUGCAAAGGUAGCAUAAUCAUUAGUCUUUUUAUUGGGGACUGGAAUGAAUGGUUUAACGAGAUAGAAUCUGUCUUGAUAUAAAUAUAUUGAAUUUAAUUUUUGGGUUAAAAAGCUUAAAUUUUUUUAUGGGACGAGAAGACCCUAUAGAGUUUAAAUAUUGAUGUUUUGCUUAGUAGUGUUUGAAAAUUUUUGGUUAAGAGUUGUUUAUUUGGUUGGGGUGAUUGAGAGAUAAUAGUAACUCUUUUUGGUUUAUAAGUAUUUAUUAAUAUAAUUUUGAUCCAUUAUUAUUGAUUAUAAGACUAAAUUACCUUAGGGAUAACAGCGUAAUCCUUUUUGAGAGCUCUCAUUGACAAAGGGGAUUGCGACCUCGAUGUUGGAUUAAGAAUAUCUCAGGUGAAGAGGCUUGAGGGUAAAGUCUGUUCGACUUAUAAAUUCUUACAUGAUCUGAGUUCAGACCGGCGUGAGCCAGGUUGGUUUCUAUCUAUUUUUAGAUGAUAUACUUUAGUACGAAAGGACCAAGUAUUAGAAAUAAUUUUUAUUGGUUUAUGUUUAUUAAUACUAUUUUGGCAGAAAAGUGUAUUAGAUUUAGGAUCUAUA